rnacentral:rRNA from 1 species
UCAGAACGAACGCUGGCGGCAUGCCUAACACAUGCAAGUCGAACGAACCCUUCGGGGUUAGUGGCGCACGGGUGCGUAACGCGUGGGAAUCUGCCCUUUGCUUCGGAAUAACAGUUAGAAAUGACUGCUAAUACCGGAUGAUGUCUUCGGACCAAAGAUUUAUCGGCAAGGGAUGAGCCCGCGUAGGAUUAGGUAGUUGGUGGGGUAAAGGCCUACCAAGCCGACGAUCCUUAGCUGGUCUGAGAGGAUGAUCAGCCACACUGGGACUGAGACACGGCCCAGACUCCUACGGGAGGCAGCAGUGGGGAAUAUUGGACAAUGGGCGCAAGCCUGAUCCAGCAAUGCCGCGUGAGUGAUGAAGGCCUUCGGGUCGUAAAGCUCUUUUACCAGGGAUGAUAAUGACAGUACCUGGAGAAUAAGCUCCGGCUAACUCCGUGCCAGCAGCCGCGGUAAUACGGAGGGAGCUAGCGUUGUUCGGAAUUACUGGGCGUAAAGCGCACGUAGGCGGCGACACAAGUCAGAGGUGAAAGCCCGGGGCUCAACCCCGGUACUGCCUUUGAAACUAGGUUGCUAGAAUCUUGGAGAGGUCAGUGGAAUUCCGAGUGUAGAGGUGAAAUUCGUAGAUAUUCGGAAGUACACCAGUGGCGAAGGCGACUGACUGGACAAGUAUUGACGCUGAGCGUGCGAAAGCGUGGGGAGCAAACAGGA